GUGGGUAACAUGCGACUCUAGUGUAACUAUCGAUGUUGACUCGCUCCCUCAGCCCUCAAACGCUCCCUCUGGAUUCCCAUGAGCCAAAAAGGCCCGAUAGGACGCCUUCUUCAGCUUGACGGCAUCCCUCACCGCUAGUGUCCACCAACGGGUUCUGGGAUUAUCGUCACGACGGGCACCGACCACCUUAUGGCCGCAGCUCGGAUCAGCCGUCUUGAGGCACAGAACAUGGCCCACUCGGACUCAAUGUCCGCUGCCUACCUCGGAACAUGGUCCAAGUUCUCCCGGAGGUGGGAGCUGAAAAUCAGGGGACUGGGGACUCUGCCAGACGUUCCCAGCAGACCCUCACAAUGCGUUUGGGCCUGCCAGGUCUGACCGGCAUCCUCCCGCAUCAUCGGAGCCAACUCACCACCAGGACCUGUUCGUCAUGGGUGACCCUACCCGGGGCAUGAAAGCCUCCAACAACUAGGCUCCUAGGAUCAUUGGGACACACAAACUCCUCCACCCGGUGGUGGCUCAGGAAGGAUUAACCUUUAACCACAAACCUGUAGUGGUUUACUAGGAUAAUUUAAGUAUGGAAAUUGUGGUUGUUAGGUUGUGUACCUUCAGCAGCGGGUCUGAGCCAUCAGUGGACUCCUCUGGAAGCAGGACGACCAUGCUCAGCUCAUCAUCUGUGUAUGGCAUCUCUAGGAUCUGCAGACCUAGCUCAGGGAUGUAGUUGUAGGGCAGUUUCUCCCUGAGAUACAUCAUAUGCACCUUUGUGGUCACAUUCUGACAGAUAUCAAACACAGAGAUAAAGAGUCAUCGCCUUAUAUUAAACCAUCUGUGUGAGACACGCGUAUCAUUUCUGAGGUUUCACCUGAUUGACUUUAAACGGCAUUUCCAAAGUGUUUGUUGGGCUGAAUCUGUACAUCCAGUUGCCUUUGAAGUAGAUGGCAUUGACCAAAGCUAAUCUCGUCAUUGAGCUAAGUGUUCCUGGCUUCAGAAGAUCUUUAAUCUUAUCUGAAAACAACGCACAAGUCAAAGCAAGGAGUCAACGUUAUAGCCAUCAACUAUUGCUGUAUAUGUGAUUAUUUUAGAGGGCUCACUCUGUGUCUGCUGCUCCACCCAGCUGUUAAUCUCGGCUCUACAAGCCUCAGGAGCCCCAAUGAAAUCCACAGUCUUCAGAUCUGCCUUAUAGUACUUGUGCGUGGCAUCAAGGAAUUGCUGCAAACAGAUAACGAGUCGUACAUUUUGUGUCUAACUUUUCUAAUUCACUUAAUGCAAGAACCCCCUGAAAACUCACUGAGAGGAAACGAGAUGUAUUUUCUCCAUAAAGACGGUUGGCCAGUUUCAGGAUGUAUGACACAGAUGGUGAAUUGAUGUCCCCAUUAAGAGAGUGGAAGUCUGCAUGGAUGUCUUCGCCGGAUUUGAAUGACAGGGCCUGUGGGAAGAGGAAAAGUAAGCAUUUGGUUGGUUUUAGUACUACAGUGAAACCUUGGUUAGUGUCAUGAACUUGUUCCAGAAGGUCUGACUCGAUCUAAAAUGGAAGCUAACCGAAUCAAAUAUGAAUGGCUUAAUGGAUGGACAAAAUCUGUAGCUGAGAUGGGGGGGGCACCAAUAAUUUAUUUAUUUUUCACACCCUGUAUGUGCAGCUAAUCAUGUGGCCAAGUACUUUUGUCUAUA